UCCCCAGUAGCUCAGCCGAUAGAGCAGAUGGCUGUUAAACAUCGGGUCCGUGGUUCGAGUCCGCGCCGGGGAG
rnacentral:tRNA from 1 species